ensembl:lncRNA
AUGCCUCAAUUCAAGCCCUGCGAGAAGACAGAACUUGAGUGCAUAUUUUCUGACCAUGGCAGAGAUCAUGAGACGGGAUCCUUUGUGAAGACUAAACAUUGGCAACUGUUUUCUUUACAACUUACCCGCACAUUUCAGUCUAACAAAUUUAUACUGAAAAUUAAUUUGACAGUGCAGUGACAUCAAGUUCCACCUGCCAUCAUUUGCUGUGUGAGAACACCACUUCUCAUAUUAAAACUUGUAAAUGCAGGAUCUAUAGAUUAAGUGUGGACUAUUCAGGCUUUGUGCCACCUCAGAUGUUGAUGGAGAUGGGUGGGAAGGAAAUGAGAAAGAUCAUUCAUUUCCCAGCCAUAACACACCACACAGAUCAUACAUUAACACUUCUGGAUCAUUAAGUUCAAAUAUGGUAACCGGAUUUAAUAUAACGACUGUUUUGAUUAGUUGUUCCUGUUUUUAGUGUCAAUUACACAUGGGGAAAUUAAUAUUAUGCUUUAAAAUGUGAUAUUAUGGUGUAAUGGUGAAUUUAAUGUUUAUAUUAGUUGCUGAGUGAGAUAUGUAAUAAAUAUGAAUGAAUGAUUUAAAACUAAAAUGAUGUUAAAGAGAUUACAUUAGGAAACUUACAUUUCCUUAUGCUGAUUUGGUGCCCAUGAAACCACUGAAAAUCAAUGAGAUGCUUAAUAUAAUAUUUUAUGGAUGUGAUAUUUUCUUUAGGAUUCUUUGACGAAGAGUGUUAAAAAAUAUGUCCAUGUAAAAGUAUUUACUGUGACUUUUGAAUAAUUUAACGCAACUUUGCUGAAUAAAAUUAAACAAUUUAAUGCAACCUUGCUGAGAAUUAAUUCCUUCAAAAAACUGACUCCAACUUGUGUAAUGAACAGCAUUUAGGGGAUGCUUUUAUCAAAAAAACAUUUGUUUUUUACGUCAUUUGUACUAGCGACGUCAGUGUCUCAAAUCUAGUAAGCUAGUAAGCAACGACCUAGAAACCACAAGUAGACCCUAGGAACUGCAUAGCAAUGUGCUUAUCAGCUGCGUAGCAACAGCCUAGCAUCAUGGUAGCAAAUUUUGCAUGGUUAAACACCACUGAAAAAAAAUAAUAUGGUAAAACUCAGAUUCAUUUUA